rnacentral:rRNA from 1 species
CAGCAGCCGCGGUAAUACGUAGGUGGCAAGCGUUGUCCGGAAUUAUUGGGCGUAAAGGGCUCGCAGGCGGUUUCUUAAGUCUGAUGUGAAAGCCCCCGGCUCAACCGGGGAGGGUCAUUGGAAACUGGGAAACUUGAGUGCAGAAGAGGAGAGUGGAAUUCCACGUGUAGCGGCGAAACGCGUAGAUAUAUGGAGGAACACCAGUGGCGAAGGCGGCUCUCUGGUCUGUAACUGACGCUGAGGAGCGAAAGCGUGGGGAGCGAACAGGAUUAGAUACCCCCGUAGUCCCUGUCUCUUAUAC